UAAAAAAACGGCACCAAGAAAGAAAGGACAUGCGCAUUGUUCUCCUGAGCCAGUUAACGUAGAGCUGGUACAUUGCUGUCUUCACUGGAGUGCUGCAAGCUCGAAGUGUGGCUGCAGCACUUCUCGCUCGUAACGUGAAACUUAAAAACACGCCAAGGAGUGGAUGCAAGUGAACUAUCAAUCUACUGAAACAGAAGCGGGAAAUGUAUUCGAAGACGAAAAUGCUCGCGCGACCUGUGCGUCAGACCCGGAUAAACGCACGCGAGCUGACAAAAUCCUGAGUAGCUGUUAUUCAACAUAAACACAUUUCCGCACACAUGAAGAUGGAUGACGAUAGUUCAUCUUAAAAUGAAACUUAUGUUUAUCAGCUUACCCCCAGGCCAUCCAAGAGAUGCUCUUAAGAACAACGCCCUGAUGUCCAAGGUCAACCAGCAAGAAGCUGAGAAGGCACUGCCAAAAUGGUUUACUGGGGCAAGGGACAGAGGAGGACAGAGAGCAUCCAGAAUGCAAAAAAGGAUGUCUGUUUGAGAAAGGUUAAAACUACAGUUGUUGAUUUGAACUGUUGUAGUUCUUUAAUUUUUCUUAAAGGAAAACACAAUCAUUUUUCAAUAUUUACCAUGUUCUUCCCUCAACUUGGAUGAAUUAAUACAAACCUCUCUUUUCUCAAUGUGUGCACUUAAAGGUGGGGUGCACAAUUUCUAAAAAAAACGUUUUGGAAAAGGGAGACAGGCCGACUAUCAAAACACACUUGUAGCCAAUUAGCAGCAUGUCUACUAAAUGACAUCGUUGCCUGGGUUGCAUAUGUGUGGGGCGGGUCUAUCAAAAGAAGGUCCAGAUUCUAUUAGGGUAAGGGUGUGUUUGUUUAGAUGAUUUCAAAUAUCAACAUUGGCUUUCAUGCACCCUGCCUUUAUUUGUUGUAAAGUGUGGCGUGAAUGUGUUAGCAUUUAGCCAAGCACCAUUCAUUCAUUAGGAUCCAAACAGGGAUGAAUUUAAUAGCCACCAAACACUUCCAUGUUUUCCCUAUUCAAAGACUGUUACAUGAGUAGUUACACGAGGAAGUAUGGUAAAAAAUAUAACUAUAUUGUAUGGCGGAAGAGCACUUAGUUUGUAGCACUCGACCUUGGGCACAGUAACAUCAUCACUCCUGACUACUCCCCCUCUUGCUUAAACUACAGUCAACAUAACCAACACGCCUGUACUAAUGUUAGUACAUUGAGCAGACUCUGCGAAAUAUCAAGUUAAGUUUAAGUGUACGCAUUGAGAAAAGAGAGAUAUGUAUUUAUUCGGCUAAGUUGAUGGAAGAACAUAGUAAAAUAUUGAAAAACUGUGUUUGUAAUUAUCUUACUUUCAUUUACUUUUAAGGGCCCCAUUUCAAUAAUUUUUUAAAGGGGCCAUGGCAUGAAAAUCUGACUUUUUCCAUGUUUAAGUACUACAAUUGGGUCCCCAGUGCUUCUAUCAACCUAGAAAAUGUGAAAAAGAUUAACCCAGUAACUUCCAUUCUCUGCAAGCAUGUGAAAAAAUAGGUAGUUGAAAUUUGGCUCUCCUUAUGAUGUCAGAAGGAGCUCUUAUUAUAAUAAUACCACACCUUAAUCUGCACUAUCCAACCACAGCACUGCCAUUUAGUGCAGAGAGGGAGAGACAGAGAAAAAAAUUCACAGCACAAUUAAGUUUCAAUUUCAACAAACCACCAUCAUUGUUAUCAGUGUUUGAAUUUCAUCAGCUCAUUUGCAUUUUAAAGUAGGGAUGCACCGAAAUGAAAAUUCUUGGCCAAAACCGAAAACCGCAAAAAGGAAACCAAGGCCGAAAAACCGAAACACCGAAAGAAAUUAUUAUGCCAAUUAUAAGUACAAUUGCAUUUAUGGCUAUCACUGUGUACUAACUUUACUAGGGGUGUGUGAUGGAUAAAAAAAACCUCACAGUUCGGAUCACAUUACAGUUUUUGAGGCACAGAUCAGAUUAUUUUUCGGAUCAGCAAAAAGCAGGUGGGAAAAAAUCUAAUAAACAAUAAAGAAAUUGCAAACAUUUACAAAAAAGAACAAAGUUGUACAUUAAUAAGGUCUGAAAUUAGCAUUAGGUACAGAAAUCAAAUUAAAUGAAUCAUAACACAAUAAAUUAAAUGUAUUAUUAUUUUUAGAGCUAUUUGUCUCUUUGUCAUGGGUUGUUUGAUUAACAUUAAUGACACAGACUUAAGUAGGUUAAUCUGACUGUAAUCUAUACAUGCACUUAA